AACAGCUGUAACCACAGGGAAAGUAUAAAGCCAGCUAUUACUGUCAGCUGAAAUCUCAGAUCUGACCACAUCACUUUCCUAGGUACCUGUGCCUUGAUGAUUAGAUAGAAAAUUGAAGAUCUUUGGCAAGAUCAAAAUCUCAGCAUCGGGUUCUACUCCACCAACCCAAGAAAGGCCAUGUGCUUGUUGACUGAAGCAUCUCCUCAGCUUGAUGGUAACAAUGUGCCUUGACUGGGCUUUCGAUCCCCAUCGUCACGUUAUUGAAACACAGCAGGAUUCUUCUGGGAUGGCCUCCAAGAUGUUUCUUUGAAAGAUGAAAUGUAAUAAGCCAUUCCAUUUCUUUCU